rnacentral:rRNA from 1 species
UACGAAGGGGGCUAGCGUUGUUCGGAAUUACUGGGCGUAAAGCGCGCGCAGGCGGUCUUCCAAGUCAGUGGUGAAAGCCCGGAGCUCAACUCCGGAACUGCCAUUGAAACUGUUGGACUUGAGUAUGAGAGAGGUGAGUGGAAUUCCCAGUGUAGAGGUGAAAUUCGUAGAUAUUGGGAAGAACACCGGUGGCGAAGGCGGCUAUCUGGACGGUUUCUGACGCUAAGACGCGAAAGCGUGGGGAGCAAACAGG